UACGUAGGUGACAAGCGUUGUCCGGAUUUACUGGGCGUAAAGAGCGCGCAGGCGGUCGAUCAAGUCGAGUGUGAAAGCCCCCGGCUCAACUGGGGAGGGUCAUUCGAUACUGAUCGACUCGAAGGCAGGAGAGGGUAGUGGAAUUCCCGGUGUAGUGGUGAAAUGCGUAGAUAUCGGGAGGAACACCAGUGGCGAAGGCGACUUCCUGGCCCUUCGUUCUACGCUGAGGCGCGAAAGCUAGGGGAGCAAACGGG
rnacentral:rRNA from 1 species